GACGAACGCUGGCGGCGUGCUUAACACAUGCAAGUCGAACGGAAAGGCCCUGCUUUUGUGGGGUGCUCGAGUGGCGAACGGGUGAGUAACACGUGAGUAACCUGCCCUUGACUUUGGGAUAACUUCAGGAAACUGGGGCUAAUACCGGAUAGGAGCUCCUGCUGCAUGGUGGGGGUUGGAAAGUUUCGGCGGUUGGGGAUGGACUCGCGGCUUAUCAGCCUGUUGGUGGGGUAGUGGCUUACCAAGGUUAUGACGGGUAGCCGGACUGAGAGGGUGACCGGCCACAUUGGGACUGAGGAACGGCCCAGACUCCUACGGGAGGCAGCAGUGGGGAAUAUUGCACAAUGGGCGGAAGCCUGAUGCAGCAACGCCGCGUGCGGGAUGACGGCCUUCGGGUUGGAAACCGCUUUCGCCUGUGACGAAGCGUGAGUGACGGUAAUGGGUAAAGAAGCACCGGCUAACUACGUG
rnacentral:rRNA from 1 species